rnacentral:rRNA from 1 species
GGGCCCGCACAAGCGGUGGAGCAUGUGGCUUAAUUCGAGGCAACGCGAAGAACCUUACCUGGUCUUGACAUGCCCGUCAUAGUUUUCCGAAAGGAAUUCGUCAGUUCGGCUGGACGGUGCACAGGUGCUGCAUGGCUGUCGUCAGCUCGUGUCGUGAGAUGUUCGUUAAGUCCGGCAACGAGCGCAACCCUCGUUUCCAGUUGCCAGCGGGUAAUGCCGGGGACUCUGGAAAGACAAACCUCUUGUUGAGGUGGGAAGGUGGGGACGACGUCAAGUCAGUAUGGCCCUUACGACCAGGGCUGCACACGUGCUACAAUGCCCGGCACAAUGGGAUGCAAUAUCGCGAGGGGGAGCCAA